rnacentral:rRNA from 1 species
GAUGAACGCUGGCGGCGUGCUUAACACAUGCAAGUCGAACGGAAAGGCCCAAGCUUGCUUGGGUACUCGAGUGGCGAAAGGGUGAGUAACACGUGGGUGAUCUGCCCUGCACUUCGGGAUAAGCCUGGGAAACUGGGUCUAAUACCGGAUAGGACCACUUCUUGGAUGUUGUGGUGGAAAGUUUUUUCGGUGUGGGAUGAGCUCGCGGCCUAUCAGCUUGUUGGUGGGGUAAUGGCCUACCAAGGCGUCGACGGGUAGCCGGCCUGAGAGGGUGUACGGCCACAUUGGGACUGAGAUACGGCCCAGACUCCUACGGGAGGCAGCAGUGGGGAAUAUUGCACAAUGGGCGCAAGCCUGAUGCAGCGACGCCGCGUGGGGGAUGACGGCCUUCGGGUUGUAAACUCCGUUCGCUAGGGACGAAGCGUUUUGUGACGGUACCUGGAGAAGAAGCACCGGCUAACUACGUG